rnacentral:rRNA from 1 species
GAUGAACGCUGGCGGCGUGCCUAAUACAUGCAAGUCGAGCGAACAGACGAGGAGCUUGCUCCUCUGACGUUAGCGGCGGACGGGUGAGUAACACGUGGAUAACCUACCUAUAAGACUGGGAUAACUUCGGGAAACCGGAGCUAAUACCGGAUAACAUGUUGAACCGCAUGGUUCAACAGUGAAAGACGGUCUUGCUGUCACUUAUAGAUGGAUCCGCGCCGCAUUGGCUAGUUGGUAAGGUAACGGCUUACCAAGGCAACGAUGCGUAGCCGACCUGAGAGGGUGAUCGGCCACACUGGAACUGAGACACGGUCCAGACUCCUACGGGAGGCAGCAGUAGGGAAUCUUCCGCAAUGGGCGAAAGCCUGACGGAGCAACGCCGCGUGAGUGAAGAAGGUCUUCGGAUCGUAAAACUCUGUUAUUAGGGAAGAACAAAUGUGUAAGUAACUAUGCACGUCUUGACGGUACCUAAUCAGAAAGCCACGGCUAACUACGUG